rnacentral:tRNA from 1 species
AUCCAGCUGGCUCAGUUGGUAGAGCAUGUGACUCUUGAUCUCAGGGUUGUGAGUUCAAGCCCAUGUUGGGCA